rnacentral:ribozyme from 1 species
CUCUUGUUUUAUUUUAAUUUAUCUUGUUUUUAUUUAUUAUUAUUUUAUUUUAUUUUACUCUGGUAGAUGAUCUCAAUACAGACA